AAAGUAUUUAACAUAGUUUAGUUAAUUAUAACGCAAGUUUUCUCCAAGAAUUGCAAUGUGGGCUUGGUUCAGCUCCCGCAUAGAUUGACUGAGCUCGUGAGCUAACAUCCCUUUCUUGGUGUGUCUUGAUGUUUUAUAUUGGCUAAAGACAAGAUAUAUCUGCAAAUGCCGGUUCCAUGUCACAUGGCUUAUUCGAGACUAGAUCCACAAAAAACUCUGCAGAUUUUGUUACCAUCAACUUGCAUUAUACAACUGACAGACUGAAACGGUUGGACACAAAAAUCUACAUUUGUGUUCCACUGGAGAAACAAAGUCACCUACAUCUUGGAUGGCCUGGGGACUACCUGACCUGUUCCUGUUAAGAGCUAGUCACUCUUUGUGGAAUGUUCCUGGCCCAUUUUUUUCCAAGUUUUUACAAAAGUUUUUUCAAUGACCUCAAAAUUGAUGUGUAAAAAUAAUAAUAAACUUGAAUUUGUUUAAA